UACGAAGGGUGCAAGCGUUACUCGGAAUUAUUGGGCGUAAAGCGCACGUAGGCGGCUUUGCAAGUCGGAUGUGAAAUCCCUCGGCUCAACCAAGGAAGUGCAUCCGAAACUGCAGAGCUUGAGUACCAAAGAGGAUCGCGGAAUUCCCGGUGUAGAGGUGAAAUUCGUAGAUAUCGGGAGGAACACCAGUGGCGAAGGCGGCGAUCUGGGUGGAUACUGACGCUGAGGUGCGAAAGCGUGGGGAGCAAACAGG
rnacentral:rRNA from 1 species